AUGAGAGACACAGAGGAAGAGAGAGAGUCAGAGACAGAGGCAGAGGGAGAAGCAGGCUCCAAGCAGGAGCCUGAUGUGGGACUCGAUCCUGGGUCUCCAGGAUCAGGCCCUGGGCUGAAGGCAGCGCUAAACCGCUGAGCCACCGGGCUGCCCUAAAAUAUUUUUUUAAAAAGAUUUUUCUUAUUUAUUUGAGAGAAAGCAUGAGUGGGAGGGGUAGAAGGGGAGGGAGAGGGAGAAGCAGACUCUACACGGAGUGUGUAGCCCGACUUAAGACAAUCCCAGGACCCUAACAUAAUGACUUGGACCCUGGGAUCAUGACCUGAGCAGAAACCAAGAGUCAAAAGCUCAACUAUCUGAGCCACCCAGGCACCCCUAGUGUUUGAUCUGCCAGUGGGAAGUGGCUACAGCUGUAGCAGCUGCUUGGAUGCGGACAUGGAAACCACAUGUGGAAGAUGGCAGGGCCAAGCCACCAGCCCCGGAUGACCUCCCUGAGCAAUGCUGGUGCAGGAUCUGCUGCAGGAAACGACUAGAAAUCAUUAUAGGAGAAAGUCUCCAUGCCGGGGGCGUGGGGUUUGGACUCAAGAUCCUGAGAUUAAGUGUCACAUCCUCUACUGAUGGAGCCAGCCAGGAGCCCUGAGAAUGUGUCAAAGACUUGAACAAAGGAAGACUUUGAACAAAUACUUGAAGCUAAGGAAGAGUUAAUACCCUGUGGCUAUUGUGAGAUGAACAUCUGAAGAAGAGGAAAUAAUACAAAAGCCCUGAAGGAGAAGCCAGACACAAGUGUUCAAGGAACAGCAAAGAGGCUAGUGUGGCUAGAACUGAGAGACUGAGGGGGAAAGCACAGGGAGGUGAAGUCAAAGAAAUCACAAUCGCCAGCUUGUGGCAUGGGUCCACUGGACUCAGUGUGAAAAUCUUUUUUUUUUUUAAGAUUUUAUUUAUCCAUUCAUGGGAGACACAGAGAGAGAUACAGAGAGAGAGAGAGAGAGAGAGAGAGGCAGAGACACAGGCAGAGGGAGAAGCAGGCUCCAUGCAGUGAGCCCAAUGUGGGACUCCAUCCCAGGUCUCCAGGAUCAGGCCCCGGGCCGAGGGUGACGCUAAAUGGCUGAGCCACCCGGGCUGCCCCUCAGUGUGAAAAUCAUUAAAAGAAAACCACACUUGAUAGGAUGAGCACUGGGUGUAAU
rnacentral:lncRNA from 1 species